rnacentral:lncRNA from 1 species
UUUUGUUCAUGUCGAACAUGAUUCAUUGUUAUGUCUAAAGCUCAAUUUCACUAAAAGUGAUAACAGACUAGUAUAAUGCGCCACAAGAUAAGCUUGUGAUCUUUGAUUUAUUGCAAAAAUAAUGUAUUAUACAUCCUUGAAAGAUCAAUAUGGAAAUCAGGAUUAAAACACACCACCUUGAUUUAACUCAUGCAUGCAGUACCACUACCCCUCUUCUAGUUUGCAAGCAAUCUAAAAUACUUCAGUUUUGGAGUUACCAACUGAUAUUGUUUGUCAAAGACUCAAAAAUAUAGAGUUUUCAGGACAUUCUAAUAUUAUGCUACACAAUUAAUUAAAUGAAGGUAAAUCGUGAAAAGUUUCUUUUAUCAUGCCAAUAGUUUACU